GUGAACUGGGUCAGCAUCCCUCUUCUGCCUCUUGCACGGACAUGAAACCGAGUGGGAGAAGAUCCGCAAGAUCUUCUUUCAGAUUCUUCAUCGUCUCCACUGGAAUCUCCUUUUCAUAUCAUUAUUUGACUCAUUCAUCUCUGAAGAUAGAGUUCCAAGUUCUGUCUCAAUGACUGGUGAAUACUUUUGACCUUUUGAUAUUUGCUUGCUCUGUAAAGAGGAGAUAAAGGUGGAGAAAGACAGUGCCUGAUCCCUUCCAGCUGGACCAGAUGUAUGGACAGAAAAUGAUGUUUCUCAUUAUUUUUGUUUUUCAUGUUAUCCUACGGCACUUCUUGGCAUUUGGGUGUUUUUGAUAUUGCAGGAGCACCUGGCUUGAUUUUACUAAAGCAGGAGUAGUAAAAACUAUUUUUGUGCACAGAGCAUGGGAAACUUAGCAUACAUCUCUUGCAUUUGCUAUACUUUUUACCUUUAAAUUAGGAUUAAUAAAAAUACUGUGAAAUAAAAGUAUACAUAAGUAUUGUUUUCACACAGUUUAUUGUAGAUGCUGAAAGUAGUUACCAUUUUUUCUUAGUUAUUGGACUGUAGACUGAUCAUUCUGGUGCUGAACUCUUCUCUGGUUAAAAUGCAGCUUGUGGUUUUAUUUUUCUCAGCCUGGGCCAUCAAAGCACUGUGUUUUAGAUAUAGGAUAUUGAUAACUGAGUGAGCUUUUUAAUCAUAAAGGUUUCUUUUGAAAGUUGGCUGUGGAACAGCAAUAUAAAAUAACUUUAAAUGUACAGAAGAGAUAUCUCUGCUUUCUAACAUUAAAAGGCAAAAUGCCAUACAAAUGCUGAAUUACUAUUUUGUUAGCUUAAAAUGUAUAGAUUUGACAAUUAAGUCUCAGUAAUUUUAUAACCUUGUACGUUUUGUAAUUGCCAGCUAGCCUGCCACCUGCUCUCUUCUGCCUUGGAUCUUCCCACAUCUGUGCUGCUUUGAAAUCUGAGUAUGCUUUUUCUUCAGUAGCAAAUAAUGUGGUGCUUGUUCUAAUCCUCAGGGUUCCAGCAAGAUGUCAUAUGACAGAUUACCUGAAUACAGUUUCCAGGCUUUUAAAAAAUGUUAAUUUCUUAAGCAAGCAGUUUGUAUCUUAGCAGGAUUAAGGUGCUGUGUAAACCAGAUGUUUUAAUAAAUUGGUCUUUGAAGGGAAGGGUUAUUCUCUUCCGGUGUGCAGCCUGAGGUCAUUUAGUUUUGAAAUAAUUUAUUUUCUCUUUCUAAGCAAUGAAGCAAAUAUGCCAUUUGAAAAGUGUGUCUGGAUUCUAAUGCUCUUCUAUUCUUGGGACAGGUACAAGUAAGCAGCUAGCAGUCUGAGUUUCCUCAUAGUGUCUAGCUAGUGGGCCUUAAUCCUGACUCAGAAGGAUUACUGUAGGUCUAGAAAGUAAAUCUCUCUGUGUUCCCAGUGAAUUUAAGGCUCUGUAUUGAGACUGCCAGCAACCAUACAUGUUAGUGUCAGUUACGAAGCUAUUCAUUGGAGCUAGUCUAAGUUCAUAAUACAUUUUAACCUGAGCUCCAAAUUCUCAUCAAAUGGUGAUGACUUUGAGUUGCUAUUGAUCUGGGCUAUAUUGAAUUUAGUAACCCUGAGGUGAAAAUCUCAGUAUUCUAUUACCAAACUCUUAAAAAUGUAGUGUUACUGAAAAGAUGCUUCAUUAAAAAAAAAAAAAAUCAAAUCUUCAUUAGAGUGUUACUGAAAGUGUUAAGAGUUCAGACUUUCCUGUGGAUUUUUAUGCUUAGUCUCACUGCAAAUAUCGCAGACUCAGCCUAAGCAGAAUAUUGGGGUUUGCAUAUUGAAAAAACUCUACAGUUUAUGUCACAUAGGCUACUCCUACAGUUGGCAUAUUUACAUUACAGUUAUUACUAUGAAUGAAAAAUUAUACAUGUGCUUUUAAAAAUAAGUGUUUAAAUCUACCUAUUUUCUUUGGCUCCUGUCCGAGGUCAGUGGACAGGUAUGGAACAACGUAUGUAUUUUUCUUCUGUGCAACAGAAUUCUAGUGAUAAAAUAUUGAUAACAGUUAAAAUGAUGGAAUCAUUUAGGUUUGAAAAGACCCCUCUAGAUCAUCAAGUCCAACUGUUAACUAAGCACCACCAUGUUCACCGCUAAGCCACGUCUAAGUGCCAUGUCUGUGUGCCUUUUGAACAGUUUCAAGAACAGUGAUUCCACUGCUUCCUGGUACAGCCUGUUCCAAACUUGACCACUCUUUUAGUGAAGAAAUUUUUCCUAGUAUCCAAUCUAAAACUCCUCUGGUGCAACAUGAGGCCAUUUUCUCUUGUCCUGUUGCUUGUUACCUGGGAAAAGAGACUGACCCCCACCUCACUACAACCUCCUUUUGGGUAAUUGUAGAGGGUGAUAAGAUCUACCCUGAGCCUCCUUUUCUCCAAGCUAAACACUCCCAGCUCCCUCAGCUGUUCCUCAUCAGA